GACGAACGCUGGCGGCGUGCCUAAUACAUGCAAGUCGAACGAACCGCGACUAGGUGCUUGCACUUGGUCAAGGUGAGUGGCGAACGGGUGAGUAACACGUGGGUAACCUACCUCAUAGUGGGGGAUAACAGUCGGAAACGACUGCUAAUACCGCAUAGGACAUAGGAUCACAUGAUCCAGUGAGGAAAGGUGGCGCAAGCUAUCGCUAAGAGAUGGACCCGCGGUGCAUUAGCUAGUUGGUAGGGUAAAGGCCUACCAAGGCGAUGAUGCAUAGCCGACCUGAGAGGGUGAUCGGCCACAUUGGGACUGAGACACGGCCCAAACUCCUACGGGAGGCAGCAGUAGGGAAUCUUCCGCAAUGGACGCAAGUCUGACGGAGCAACGCCGCGUGAGUGAAGAAGGUCUUCGGAUCGUAAAGCUCUGUUGUUAGAGAAGAACAGCGCAUAGAGUAACUGUUAUGCGUGUGACGGUAACUAACCAGAAAGCCACGGCUAACUACGUG
rnacentral:rRNA from 1 species